GCCCGGUUAGCUCAGUUGUUAGAGCAUCAGACUUUUAAUCUGAGGGCCAUGGGUUCGAGUCCCAUGUCGGGCU
rnacentral:tRNA from 1 species